UACGUAGGUGGCAAGCGUUGUCCGGAUUUAUUGGGUUUAAAGGGUGCGUAGGCGGUCUAUUAAGUCAGUGCUGAAAUAUCCCGGCUUAACCGGGAGGGUGGCAUUGAUACUGAUGGACUUGAGUAAAGUUUGAGGUUGGCGGAAUUGACGGUGUAGCGGUGAAAUGCUUAGAUAUCGUCAAGAACACCUAUUGCGAAGGCAGCUAACUAGCUAAACUGACGCUGAGGCACGAAAGUGUGGGGAUCAAACAGG
rnacentral:rRNA from 1 species